GACGAGUGGCGGACGGGUGAGUAAUGCUUGGGAACUUGCCUUUGCGAGGGGGAUAACAGUUGGAAACGACUGCUAAUACCGCAUAAUGUCUUCGGACCAAACGGGGCUUAGGCUCCGGCGCAAAGAGAGGCCCAAGUGAGAUUAGCUAGUUGGUAAGGUAACGGCUUACCAAGGCGACGAUCUCUAGCUGUUCUGAGAGGAAGAUCAGCCACACUGGGACUGAGACACGGCCCAGACUCCUACGGGAGGCAGCAGUGGGGAAUAUUGCACAAUGGGGGAAACCCUGAUGCAGCCAUGCCGCGUGUGUGAAGAAGGCCUUCGGGUUGUAAAGCACUUUCAGUUGUGAGGAAAAGUUAGUAGUUAAUACCUGCUAGCCGUGACGUUAACAACAGAAGAAGCACCGGCUAACUCCGUGCCAGCAGCCGCGGUAAUACGGAGGGUGCGAGCGUUAAUCGGAAUUACUGGGCGUAAAGCGCACGCAGGCGGUUUGUUAAGCUAGAU
rnacentral:rRNA from 1 species